rnacentral:rRNA from 1 species
AUUGAACGCUGGCGCCAUGCCUUACACAUGCAAGUCGAACGGUAACAGGUCUUCGGAUGCUGACGAGUGGCGAACGGGUGAGUAAUACAUCGGAAAGUGCCCGAUCGUGGGGGAUAACGGAGUGAAAGCUUUGCUAAUACCGCACACGAUCUACGGAUGAAAGCAGGGGUACGCAAGGCCUUGCGCGGACGGAGCGGGCGGGGGCAGAUAAGGAAGUUGGUGUAAUAAUAGCUUACCAAACCGAGGGUCUGUAGCUGAUCUGAGAGGCCGACCAGCCACACGGGGACAGAGACACGGCCCACACUCCUACAGGAGGAAGCGGUGGGGAAUUUUGGACAAUGGACGAAAGCCUGAUCCAGCCAUGCCGCGUGCAGGAUGAAGUCCUUCGGGUUGUAGACUGCUGUUGUACGGAACGAAAAGACUCUUUCUAAUAAAGAGGGUCCAUGACGGUACCGUAAGAAUAAGCACCGGCUAACUACGUG